CAGCAGCCGCCACGGUAAUACAGAGGGUGCGAGCGUUAAUCGGAUUUACUGGGCGUAAAGCGUGCGUAGGCGGCUUCUUAAGUCGGAUGUGAAAUCCCUGAGCUUAACUUAGGAAUUGCAUUCGAUACUGGGAAGCUAGAGUAUGGGAGAGGAUGGUAGAAUUCCAGGUGUAGCGGUGAAAUGCGUAGAGAUCUGGAGGAAUACCGAUGGCGAAGGCAGCCAUCUGGCCUAAUACUGACGCUGAGGUACGAAAGCAUGGGGAGCAAACAGGAUUAGAGACCCCAGUAGUCCCUGUCUCUUAUAC
rnacentral:rRNA from 1 species